UGGCGGCGUGCCUAAUACAUGCGAGUCGAGCGGGAACCAUUGGAGCUUGCUCCUUUGGUUUAGCGGCGGACGGGUGAGUAACACGUGGGCAAACCUGCCCUGCAGAUCGGGAUAACUCCGGGAAAACCGGUGCUAAUACCGAAUAGUUUGCGGCCUCUCAUGAGGCUGCACGGAAAAGACGGUUUCGGCUGUCACUGCAGGAUGGGCCCGCGGCGCAUUAGCUAGUUGGUGGGGUAACGGCCUACCAAAGGCGACGAUGCGUAGCCGACCUGAGAGGGUGAUCGGCCACACUGGGACUGAGACACGGCCCAGACUCCUACGGGAGGCAGCAGUAGGGAUCUUCCGCGAUGGACGAAAGUCUGACGGAGGACGCCGCGUGAGUGAAGAGGUUUUCGGAUCGUAAAACUCUGUUGUGAGGGAAGACGAGUAUCGACUAACUAUUGGUACCUUGACGGUACCUCACCAGAGGGCCACGGCUAACUACGUGCCAGCAGCCGCGGUGGUACGUAGGUGGCGGGCGUUGUCCGGGAUUAUUGGGCGGGGGCGCGCGCAGGCGGUCCUUUAAGUCUGAUGUGGGGGCCCAUGCUCAACCGUGGAGGGUCAUUGGGGACUGGGGGACUUGAGUGC
rnacentral:rRNA from 1 species